rnacentral:ncRNA from 1 species
AAUAAAUUUUUUAUGGUUUAGUAAUUUAUUAUAAAUUUAUUUUACAUAUAAAUUUUAGUAUAUAUUUUUAAUUAUUUUAAUAAUAUUUAAAUUAAAUUUAUAGUAAUUAAUAUUAAAAAUUUAAGAAAUUAAGAUUUAGUAAUAUUUAAAUUAAUAACAAAUUUUGUGCCAGCAGUUGCGGUUAAACAAAAGUUAAAUUAAAUUUUAUUAGUAAUUAAUAUAUAAUUCAAAAUAUUUAAAUAAAUAUAAAAUUAUUAGGUGAAAUUUUUAUUUUAUUUAAUUUAAUUUUUUAUUUUAUAAUUUAAUAAAUUUUAUUAAUAAACUAGGAUUAGAUACCCUAUUAUUAAAAAUUUAAAUUAAAAAUACUAAAAUAGUAUGUAAUUAUUUAUUGAAACUUAAAUAAUUUGGCGGUAUUUUAGUUCAUUUAGAGGAAUCUGUUUAUUAAUUGAUAAUCCACGAAUAAAUUUACUUAAUUUAUAAUUUUGUAUAUCGUUGUUAAAAAAAUAUUUUUAAAUAAAAAUAAUAUUUUAAAAUUAAAAUAGAAAUUAAAUCAGAUCAAGAUGCAGAUUAUAAUUAAGAAUAUAAUGGAUUACAAUAAAUUUAUUUAAAUGGAUAUUAAUUUGUAAAAAUUAAUUGAAGGUGGAUUUAAAUGUAAUUUUAUUUAAUUUAAUAGAAUGAUUUAAAAUUAAAAUAUGUACAUAUUGCCCGUCGCUUUCAUAAAUAAAUUGGAAUAAGUCGUAACAAAGUAGAGAUACUGGAAAGUGUUUCUAGAAAUAC